CGUAUAUUAAUGUUGUUGCAGUUAAAAAGCUCGUAGUUGGAUUUUGGAGUUUGACAAGUGGUCUGCCUAAGGUGUGUACUGCUUGUCGGCUCUUCUUUUCUGGGGACCACAUUGCUCUUUACUGAGGAGUGUUGGGAAUCAGAUCUUUUACUUUGAAAAAAUUAGAGUGUUCAAAGCAGGCCCACGCAUUGAAUACAUUAGCAUGGAAUAAUGGAAUAGGACUUUGGUCUUAUUUUGUUGGUUUCUAAGGCCGAGGUAAUGAUUAAUAGGGAUAGUUGGGGGCGUUUAUAUUCCAUUGUCAGAGGUGAAAUUCUUGGAUUUAUGGAAGAUAAACUACUGCGAAAGCAUUCGCCAAGGAUGUUUUCAUUAAUCAAGAACGAAAGUUAGGGGAUCGAAGACGAUCAGAUACCGUCGUAGUCUUAACCAUAAACCAUGCCGACUAGGGAUCAGCAGACGUUCCUUAACGACUCUGUUGGCACCUUGUGAGAAAUCAAAGUUUUUGGGUUCCGGGGGGAGUAUGGUCGCAAGGCUGAAACUUAAAGGAAU
rnacentral:rRNA from 1 species